rnacentral:tRNA from 1 species
GUAAUUUUAGUUUAAGAAUAAAAUAGUGAUUUGUCUAGUCAUAGAUGAUAUAAAUAUCAAGUUACU